CUCACUUUGGAGAGCGUCAACGGUUAUUUCCGUUUGAAGUUUUAUAUCGUGAGGAAGACAUCUUGCACGAAUUAGGACCUACAGUUUCGAGCGAAAUGAGGAGCAGCUUGGCUGGUCGAAGCGCGUCCAAGUGAAAAUCCAAGUAGCGGUACAUCUUCCUCGGGGAGAUAGAGGAAUGGAUCGAAGCCUGGGAUACCAGGCCGCCAUCUUGGUCAACUUCCUUAAGAACACUUUCCAAUUAACCGCUUGAACUGGUAAUUGGAAGAACAACGUCGACCGUUCAAAUGUACUGGCUUUGAUGGGGCUGAAGCUUUUUUAACGAACGAUCGAGCUCUUCGAAAAGGGUGGAAGAUUCGACGAGGUGCGGUGGAAUGAGCUCGAAAAGUAAGGCUAGAAGAGUGCCGAUAAAUCCCGGGAGGAGCUGCGCCCAGGAUAUUGGUGCGGGCAGAAGCAGUUCGAUUCCUGGAGAGAUUCGGUCCGGGCGUUGGCAGCAAUGCCGGCCACACUUGGCAACCCUGUCCCCCGCGGCCGGCCGCCACGCCUGGCCGCGCCGUUCCCGAGCGCCAUGGAUCGCAGAUAACGUGAUUUACGUCGCCGAGUAAUUAAUGUCCCCCCGGCCGGUGUUUAAAAAAAGAAGAGAGGAAAAAGAGAAGAAACGAAGAAACGAUCGGAAAUCGACAACAAAGCGUUACGGGCCGCCCGCGAGGCUUGGCGAGUCUCCCCGGAGAUUCGACAAAUUGCCGGACCGGUGUUGCCGAGACUUCGGUAAGGAAGAAUGUAGUUGAUAAAAAUGGAAGGUUUUAAAUAUCGACGGGGACUCACCAGUGAUGGAGGCGGGUGGCGAGAUGGCCGAAGAAGUGCC